CAUUGCACACCGUGCACUGUUGCACUUUGAACAUUGUUGAAAGACCAAACCAAAGCUGCCCUGUGAAGUGCGUGGGGUUUCAGAUUGAUCUCUGCAGUGGCCCUUCACUGACCCAGGGGUGGAGGAAGAUGAGGAACUCAAGAAUAAGGAAGGUUAAAUAACGUGCCCAUGGUCACACAGUUAACGAAGAAAGGGGCUAGCACCUAACCGCAGGAGAGUUUAUCUCCAGAGCACACACCUCUGACCACCUUGAAAGUGUUAACUGAAAUAAGGCUUACAAAAUUCUCAGCAGAACUCCAGCCAUAUGGAUAGGACUGAUGAAACGGAAGUGUGCUGGGACACAGGGACUGCGAUUCAGGUGUGAUGGAAGAAAUCCAGAUAUAGGGACAUCUAACGCAGAAUCGUGCCCUUUUAACAAAUGUAAUUGAGAGGUAACAUAGAAUAGAAGCUAAAAAACACGGACUUUAGAAUUACAAAGGCCUAUGUUCUGUUAUUUAUUAGCAGUGAGACCUUGGGGAAAUUACUCAACACAUGUGAGCUUUAAAUAACUCACAACUGUACCUAGCAGAGUGCCCUGAUAUAUUAAUAGUAAUCAUUAAAUAAAUGCUUGUAGAACUGA